rnacentral:rRNA from 1 species
GGUUAAGCGACUAAGCGUACACGGUGGAUGCCCUGGCAGUCAGAGGCGAUGAAGGGCGUGCUAAUCUGCGAUAAGCGCCGGUAAGGUGAUAUGAACCGUUAUAACCGGCGAUACCCAAAUGGGGAAACCCAGUGUGAUUCGUCACACUAUCAUUAACUGAAUCCAUAGGUUAAUGAGGCGAACCGGGGGAACUGAAACAUCUAAGUACCCCGAGGAAAAGAAAUCAACCGAGAUUCCCCCAGUAGCGGCGAGCGAACGGGGAGGAGCCCAGAGCCUGAAUCAGCAUGUGUGUUAGUGGAAGCGUCUGGAAAGGUGCGCGAUACAGGGUGACAGCCCCGUACACAAAAGCGCAUGUGCUGUGAGCUCGAUGAGUAGGGCGGGACACGUGGUAUCCUGUCUGAAUAUGGGGGGACCAUCCUCCAAGGCUAAAUACUCCUGACUGACCGAUAGUGAACCAGUACCGUGAGGGAAAGGCGAAAAGAACCCCGGCGAGGGGAGUGAAAAAGAACCUGAAACCGUGUACGUACAAGCAGUGGGAGCACAGGUUUACCUGUGUGACUGCGUACCUUUUGUAUAAUGGGUCAGCGACUUAUAUUCUGUAGCAAGGUUAACCGAAUAGGGGAGCCGGAGGGAAACCGAGUCUUAAUUGGGCGUUAAGUUGCAGGGUAUAGACCCGAAACCCGGUGAUCUAGCCAUGGGCAGGUUGAAGGUUGGGUAACACUAACUGGAGGACCGAACCGACUAAUGUUGAAAAAUUAGCGGAUGACCUGUGGCUGGGGGUGAAAGGCCAAUCAAACCGGGAGAUAGCUGGUUCUCCCCGAAAGCUAUUUAGGUAGCGCCUCGUGAAUUCAUCUCCGGGGGUAGAGCACUGUUUCGGCUAGGGGGCCAUCCCGGCUUACCAACCCGAUGCAAACUGCGAAUACCGGAGAAUGUUAUCACGGGAGACACACGGCGGGUGCUAACGUCCGUCGUGAAGAGGGAAACAACCCAGACCGCCAGCUAAGGUCCCAAAGUCAUGGUUAAGUGGGAAACGAUGUGGGAAGGCCCAGACAGCCAGGAUGUUGGCUUAGAAGCAGCCAUCAUUUAAAGAAAGCGUAAUAGCUCACUGGUCGAGUCGGCCUGCGCGGAAGAUGUAACGGGGCUAAACCAUGCACCGAAGCUGCGGCAGCGAACGUAUCACCCAAGACAACUUUACGGAGUUGACGAUUGACGGAGCGAAGCGACGUCAAAGCGUUCAUUAAAGUCGAGUUGGCUUAGGGAUACGUUCGUUGGGUAGGGGAGCGUUCUGUAAGCCUGUGAAGGUGUGUCGUGAGGCAUGCUGGAGGUAUCAGAAGUGCGAAUGCUGACAUAAGUAACGAUAAAGCGGGUGAAAAGCCCGCUCGCCGGAAGACCAAGGGUUCCUGUCCAACGUUAAUCGGGGCAGGGUGAGUCGACCCCUAAGGCGAGGCCGAAAGGCGUAGUCGAUGGGAAACGGGUUAAUAUUCCCGUACUUGGUGUUACUGCGAAGGGGGGACGGAGAAGGCUAUGUUGGCCGGGCGACGGUUGUCCCGGUUUAAGCGUGUAGGUGUGUGUUCCAGGUAAAUCCGGUUCACUUUAACACUGAGGCGUGACGACGAGGCACUACGGUGCUGAAGCAACAAAUGCCCUGCUUCCAGGAAAAGCCUCUAAGCAUCAGGUAACAUCAAAUCGUACCCCAAACCGACACAGGUGGUCAGGUAGAGAAUACCAAGGCGCUUGAGAGAACUCGGGUGAAGGAACUAGGCAAAAUGGUGCCGUAACUUCGGGAGAAGGCACGCUGACACGUAGGUGAAGUGAUUUACUCAUGGAGCUGAAGUCAGUCGAAGAUACCAGCUGGCUGCAACUGUUUAUUAAAAACACAGCACUGUGCAAACACGAAAGUGGACGUAUACGGUGUGACGCCUGCCCGGUGCCGGAAGGUUAAUUGAUGGGGUCAGCGCAAGCGAAGCUCCUGAUCGAAGCCCCGGUAAACGGCGGCCGUAACUAUAACGGUCCUAAGGUAGCGAAAUUCCUUGUCGGGUAAGUUCCGACCUGCACGAAUGGCGUAAUGAUGGCCAGGCUGUCUCCACCCGAGACUCAGUGAAAUUGAACUCGCUGUGAAGAUGCAGUGUACCCGCGGCAAGACGGAAAGACCCCGUGAACCUUUACUAUAGCUUGACACUGAACAUUGAGCCUUGAUGUGUAGGAUAGGUGGGAGGCUUUGAAGUGUGGACGCCAGUCUGCAUGGAGCCGACCUUGAAAUACCACCCUUUAAUGUUUGAUGUUCUAACGUGGACCCGUAAUCCGGGUUGCGGACAGUGUCUGGUGGGUAGUUUGACUGGGGCGGUCUCCUCCUAAAGAGUAACGGAGGAGCACGAAGGUUGGCUAAUCCUGGUCGGACAUCAGGAGGUUAGUGCAAUGGCAUAAGCCAGCUUGACUGCGAGCGUGACGGCGCGAGCAGGUGCGAAAGCAGGUCAUAGUGAUCCGGUGGUUCUGAAUGGAAGGGCCAUCGCUCAACGGAUAAAAGGUACUCCGGGGAUAACAGGCUGAUACCGCCCAAGAGUUCAUAUCGACGGCGGUGUUUGGCACCUCGAUGUCGGCUCAUCACAUCCUGGGGCUGAAGUAGGUCCCAAGGGUAUGGCUGUUCGCCAUUUAAAGUGGUACGCGAGCUGGGUUUAGAACGUCGUGAGACAGUUCGGUCCCUAUCUGCCGUGGGCGCUGGAGAACUGAGGGGGGCUGCUCCUAGUACGAGAGGACCGGAGUGGACGCAUCACUGGUGUUCGGGUUGUCAUGCCAAUGGCACUGCCCGGUAGCUAAAUGCGGAAGAGAUAAGUGCUGAAAGCAUCUAAGCACGAAACUUGCCCCGAGAUGAGUUCUCCCUGAGACUUAGAGUCUCCUGAAGGAACGUUGAAGACGACGACGUUGAUAGGCCGGGUGUGUAAGCGCAGCGAUGCGUUGAGCUAACCGGUACUAAUGAACCGUGAGGCUUAACCUU